UACGUAGGGUGCGAGCGUUGUCCGGAAUUAUUGGGCGUAAAGGGCUCGUAGGCGGUUUGUCACGUCGGGAGUGAAAACUCAGGGCUUAACCCUGAGCCUGCUUCCGAUACGGGCAGACUAGAGGUAUGCAGGGGAGAACGGAAUUCCUGGUGUAGCGGUGAAAUGCGCAGAUAUCAGGAGGAACACCGGUGGCGAAGGCGGUUCUCUGGGCAUUACCUGACGCUGAGGAGCGAAAGUGUGGGGAGCGAACAGG
rnacentral:rRNA from 1 species